AGAGUUUGAUCCUGGCUCAGAAUCAACGCUGGCGGCGGCUUAACACAUGCAAGUCGAACGAGAAAGCCCGCAAGGAGUAAAGUGGCGUACGGGUGAGUAACACGUGGGUAAUCUACCUUUUGGUGGGGAAUAACGCUGGGAAACCGGCGCUAAUACCGCAUAAGCUCGGAAGAGGAAAAGAGAAAUCUGCCGAAAGAGGAGCCCGCGGCUGAUUAGCUAGUUGGUGAGGUAAAGGCUCACCAAGGCUAUGAUCGGUAGCCGGCCUGAGAGGGCACACGGCCACACUGGCACUGAAACACGGGCCAGACUCCUACGGGAGGCAGCAGUGGGGAAUCUUGCACAAUGGGGGAAACCCUGAUGCAGCGACGCCGCGUGAGCGAUGAAGCCCUUCGGGGUGUAAAGCUCUUUCGGCAGGGACGAUAAUGACGGUACCUGAAGAAGAAGCUGCGGCUAACUACGUGCCAGCAGCCGCGGUAAUACGUAGGCAGCAAGCGUUGUUCGGAGUUACUGGGCGUAAAGAGUGCGUAGGCGGUUUUCUAAGUUUGGUGUGAAAUCUCCCGGCUUAACUGGGAGGGUGCGCCGAAGACUGGAAGGCUUGAGUAUGGGAGAGGUAAGCGGAAUUCCUGGUGUAGCGGUGAAAUGCGUAGAUAUCAGGAGGAACACCUGCGGUGUAGACGGCUUACUGGACCAUAACUGACGCUGAGGCACGAAAGCGUGGGUAGCAAACAGGAUUAGAUACCCUAGUAGUCC
rnacentral:rRNA from 1 species